GAAGAUUGCUAGCAAUGACCCCCCUCCCGGGCCCCUCUAGUCUCCUUGUUCCUGUGGAAACGGGAACGCUCUCCCAUCCUACUUGCUAGAAAGCUGAUCUUUCCUUCGCAUCGUUAUGGUGUUGACAAUCGCUUCCUGUCUCCCAGUGGGAAUCUGUUUAUUCCUCCAUGUAAACCGUUUCGUCUUGCUAUCUAAUCUCCAUUCAUAGCGAAAAAAAGACAUAAACACAUUUCAUUUUACCCAAACCUUUAAAAAACGGCUAUCACUUUCGUUUCUUCUGAAUUUUAUUACCUCUGCAAAUUAUAUAAUUACUCUCGCUUAUUCUUCUUAACAGAUGAGAAAGUGCAAGUCUCUGUAAUUACAGCUUGGAUCCAAACUGCCAUGAUUGCAGAUCCUGCAUCACAGGAGUUUCCUAAGCUCAGAACUCACACUCUCACUCAGGAAGGAGGUGUACUGGUCAGGAGGACCCUGGUCAUGCUGCAUAAUAGGCAGCCCACUGCUUGCGACAGCAGUGGGUUGAGCAGCAUCAAUCUGUGUGUUACAAAAGAAGCUAAGGCCUCCCAGAGGCAGCUGGUCAUUCAUCCCCGACACACGCUCCUCGGUUGCAGGGUUUGACAUGGAGAACAGUAUCGCUGAGAGCCCAAAUCACCAGCCUGAGCCACGGGGGAGUCAGCUGACAACAUCUCUGUUCACCCCGUCACGGUGCAGCAUCUGUCAGCCUGUGUCACCACAGCUCAAGACAACGCUGGGUCUCCUAGGUUCUCGGAACCCUUCCCCGAAAACAGUGCGAAGGCUCCAGGUGACUGAACGCAGGUACAGCUGACCCACCAACACUCAACCACCCCGUGACUCCACCGGUAACCAGCCACCGCCCACACACCUGCUCUGAGCCCAGCACCAGGGGCUGUGCACACAGCGCUGCUAAUAGUCAAGAGAACCCCACAACAGGAGAUGUAUGUUUGCGCUGAAUGUUUGUAUCCCCCAAAAUUCCUAUGUUGAAUCCUAACGCCCAAGAGGAUGGUGUUAAGAGGUGGGGCCUCUGGGGUCACUGCGUCAUGAGAGUGGAGCCUUCAUGAAUGGGAUUAGUGUCCUUGUAAACGAGACCCCAGAGAGCUCUCACCCCAUCUCCACCAUGUGAGGACACAGUGAGGAGACUGUCGUCGGCACCCUGAGAGAGUGAUCUCCCCAGAACCCCACCAUGCCAGCACCCCGAUCUCAGACUUCCAGUCUCCAGAACUGUGCUGAAUGUAUUUCCAUUGUUUAUAAGCCGCCCAGUCAUGGUAUUUUUGUCAUAGCAGCCUGAACAAAGACAGUAGUAGAGAAACUGGGGCUCAGAAAGUUGAAAUAACAGGCCCAAAAUCACACGGCAGGGCUCCUGUGUUGGGAUUUGAAAGCGAGUCUAUUCAAGGCCCAGAUUCUGCAAUGUCCUCAUCCUCCCUCCCUCUCUUCCUGUCUCUCUCCAUUGGGUGAUCAGGGAGAUUACAAGAAGAAAAAUUUAAGAGGUUGAAGGUCCUGGGAGAAUCGAGGCCCUGGUACAGGCUGCAGGGUGCCAAGUUGACUCCCUCGUCCUGGAUUCCCAACUCCUUCAAUCGGGGGCUCUGAGCGGCAGGUACCA
rnacentral:lncRNA from 1 species